rnacentral:rRNA from 1 species
GCCAGAGGGGGCAAGCGUUGCUCGGAAUUACUGGGCGUAAAGGGCGCGUAGGCGGGAUGGCAAGUCGGUCGUGAAAUCCUUCGGCUCAACCGAAGAACGUCGAUCGAUACUGCUGUUCUUGAGGGUUGCAGAGGAGACUGGAAUUCCCGGUGUAGCGGUGAAAUGUGUAGAGAUCGGGAGGAACACCGGUGGCGAAGGCGGGUCGCUGGGCAAUUCCUGACGCUGAGGCGCGAAAGCGGGGGGAGCAAACGGG